UACGGAGGGUGCAAGCGUUGUCCGGAAUCAUUGGGCGUAAAGAGCGUGUAGGCGGCCAACUAAGUCCGACGUGAAAUCCCCAGGCUUAACCUGGGAACUGCGUCGGAUACUGGAUGGCUUGAAUUCGGGAGAGGGAUGCAGAAUUCCAGGUGUAGCGGUGAAAUGCGUAGAUAUCUGGAGGAAUACCGGUGGCGAAGGCGGCAUCCUGGACCGACAUUGACGCUGAGGAGCGAAAGCUAGGGGAGCAAACGGG
rnacentral:rRNA from 1 species